rnacentral:rRNA from 1 species
UACGUAGGGGGCGAGCGUUGUCCGGAUUUAUUGGGCGUAAAGAGCGCGCAGGCGGUCGUUCAAGUCGCGUGUGAAAGCCCCCGGCUCAACUGGGGAGGGUCACGCGAUACUGAUCGACUCGAAGGCAGGAGAGGGUAGUGGAAUUCCCGGUGUAGUGGUGAAAUGCGUAGAUAUCGGGAGGAACACCAGUGGCGAAGGCGACUACCUGGCCUGUUUCUUGACGCUGAGGCGCGAAAGCUAGGGGAGCAAACGGG